AAGCAGUUUGAACUGAAUGUGUUCAUUUUUUUCAUGUUUUACUUGUGUACUAAACUGCCUGGCUACUCAACUUGAGAAGCUGAAGAGAUAUACCUGCGUUUAAAUUGCCUAAAAUAAGAUGUCGGCUUCGUGUGAAACAUUUCCGAUGUUUUUGCUUGACGGUGCUAUUACUAAGGUUUCAGAAACAGAUUCUGAAGAUGACAGCGAUUCAGAUUCUAACUCGGAUACUGACUACGAAUUCCCAGAACCAAGAACGUUUCCAAUCUCGGCCACAAGCUUUCCAGGACCAAGACGUGUAAAGGUGACAGAAUUUCGACCAGUAAUACACCAGGAGGGUUACACCACAACCUACAG